GACAGAGGGUGCAAACGUUGUUCGGAAUUACUGGGCGUAAAGCGCGUGUAGGCGGUCUGCUAAGUCGGGUGUGAAAGCCCUGGGCUCAACCCAGGAAGUGCACUCGAAACUGGCAGGCUAGAGUACUGGAGAGGUUGGUGGAAUUCCUGGAGUAGGGGUGAAAUCCGUAGAUAUCAGGAAGAACACCGGUGGCGAAGGCGGCUCUCUGGACCGAUACUGACGCUGAGACGCGAAAGCGUGGGUAGCAAACAGG
rnacentral:rRNA from 1 species